UCAGACUUGCCUGCGGGAUUAGGAAUUGAACAAGGUUUCAUUCUGUUAUAAUAAAGAAGUAUUUACACAGGGCGUUUUACUGAUUAAGCCAUGACAAUUUGACUUAGCCUGGUUACAUUUUUAACAUCAGAUGACUUAUUGUGGAGAAAGGGAUUCAAAGAAAAAAAUGAGGUCAGCAUCAAACAGCGAUCAAUCAGCACAAUAGGUACUAAAAUUAAUAUUCGUUAAAGUUCCUUUUAUGUUCUAUAAUCUCAUUUUCGCUUCAGCUGAUUACUGAAAAAUCUGAUAACGACUUCAAAAGCGCAUAUCUAAUAACUAUUGACAUAAAUAAAGCCAUCUUAACCUUACUUAACACUUACUUAAUGUUCGCACAUUGCUAGAGUGCUGGUGCAACGAAAAAUGGAGUGUGUUUUUUUCGACCCUUACAAGAAAAAAUAUCUAUAACAAAACACAAAUAUUAAUAGGAGUCGUAGUACAAUAAAAAUCACUGAUCAAGUAAAAAAAACAGUGGGAAUAAUUGUAAACGCUUUAACAAAAACCGACUUCAAAUAGAAAAAAAUAA